rnacentral:rRNA from 1 species
UACGGAGGGUGCAAGCGUUAUCCGGAUUCACUGGGUUUAAAGGGUGCGUAGGUGGGCAAGUAAGUCAGUGGUGAAAUCUCCGGGCUUAACCCGGAAACUGCCAUUGAUACUAUUGUCUUGAAUACUGUGGAGGUCAGCGGAAUAUGUCAUGUAGCGGUGAAAUGCUUAGAUAUGACAUAGAACACCAAUUGCGAAGGCAGCUGGCUACACAAAUAUUGACACUGAGGCACGAAAGCGUGGGGAGUCAAA